rnacentral:rRNA from 1 species
UACGGGGGGGGCAAGCGUUGUUCGGAAUUACUGGGCGUAAAGGGCUCGUAGGUGGCCAACUAAGUCAGACGUGAAAUCCCUCGGCUUAACCGGGGAACUGCGUCUGAUACUGGAUGGCUUGAGAUUGGGAGAGGGAUGCGGAAUUCCAGGUGUAGCGGUGAAAUGCGUAGAUAUCAGCAGGAAUACCCGUGGCGAAGGCGGCCCCCUGGGCCGAACCUGACGCUGAGGCGCGAAGGCUAGGGGAGCGAACGGG